UAAUUUUUCCUUCGUUUCAAUAAAAUAUUAACCCAUAAUCUCCCUCCCUUAUUACCACAGUCCCUCUCAUAUGUUAGGUUGUCCUUUGCAUGUCCUUUAAAAAAAUUCUGUAUGGUGUUUGAGAAACAGAAUGGGAGAAAAGUGAACAAAAUUAAGUGAAGCUCAGAGGAAAUAGUUCCACAGUCCCUUAACAAAGUGUUUUACAAACUAGCAGAAUAUGUAUGAAUGGAAAAUUGAUCAUACAAAUAGCUGAGUUCCUUCUAACAUAGAACUUAAAAAGCAAACGUCUUUGGAAAGCGCAAUCAAAAUAAAAAUACAUAAAAGAUAGUAAAAGAGUGAUCCACAUUGCUGUUCCACUCAUUCAGCAAUUGUAAUGAUUUAUAAUAUAAUGUGUAAAUUAAACACACUGUGCACUAAUUAACCAUCUGUGUCAAAUCUACUACUGCAGGCCCAGAAACAACUUUGGUCUGUUGUGCCAUAAACCAGCUGUAUGUGUUGGAGUUGGAAGUAUUGAUCUUCGACAGUUCCAGUGAUGACAAUCUUCUCAGUUAGGUCUAAUUGUGAAGAUGCUACCACUGAGAUGUGGUUGAGGUGUUCCAGUUGGUCUUGAAGAUCUGGACCUUACAAUGGAAAUUCUCUAGGGUUGGGAUCAACUUUUUGAAACCAAUAGGAGGUUGCCACAGGGGGGACCAACUUUUUGAAACCAUCCAUACAGUUGCUUAGGUUAGGGUCUCAGAUAUGACACCCUUUAGCCAUUUACCUUGUUGGGCUCUCAUUUACGAGAAAUCAAUGAAAAUGUGUUUUUCGUGAUCCAGUGCAGCCUUGAAAUUAAUACAAACUUCCCAAAUGGCAUUACAGCAUAUUGGUUAAGUUGUUUAGCUGGUGCGCUGAAGUUUACCAGUGCGAAUGCUAUCAGGUAUGUCAGAAUUUGGGUUGAUGUUUGAUCUCUCCAGUAGGAUGAAAAUAAUUGGUGGAUUUCCCAUUAACCAUUACAAAUCAGUUUUUCAUUUGAGGAGCUUCUUUGCAAGUGCGGCAUUUAAUGUAUGACAACACAAAUCCAUCAGCCAGUGAAAGUCGUGAUGAAAGAGUGCAGGAAUUCAAUGAAGAAGCAAGGAGAACGUAUUUCAAUACCGUGCACUAGGUGUUAUUUAUUUACAGUGAUAGAGCUCUCAUAUCUAAAAACCCUCCUGAUCUGAUAAAUUCAGAAACAAUAAUGAUGGGCAAAUGAAUCACAGAGACAACAAUUUGACUCAUGAAGGAGUGUGUUAUUGUUCACAGUGAAGAUGUUGUUUUAAACACAGAGAUUGACGAAGAGAGACUGUAUGAUGAGUGUACUGUUGGCAAUGAAGAGUGGAUGAAUAUUUUAAACCAUUGCAAUUUUGAAGCACUUUGAUCAAAUUACAUUUUGUUAACAUACAAAGCAAAAGCAGCUGCCUUUGCUGAAGACCAUCCCAGUUAUUCUUCGAAGAACCGACAAGGAAGUGGUUUCUUCUGUAUAUGAAGAAAAGAAUGUUUGAAGAAAUGGAAAGAAGCAAGGAGGAACAAAAAUCACGUAGCUGUGCAUGAUAGAUUCUGAAAUAUUCGAAAAAUUUAAGGAAGCUCGGAUGUGCCUCGAACAAAUGACAGCUUGUACCCUCCAACAGUGGCUGAUGGCUAUCACUUUUCCUUAUUUAUAAGAAAACUUUUAGCUUUCUGCAAGUGGGAAGAGGGUGAAAAUUUUAAAAUGGGAUGUGGAGUCCAUCAAAGAAAAUUGGUCAGCUUCAUUAGCAGAAUGAUGUUGGAAAACUUAAAGAAACUAUUGAAGCAGCAAAGCUGUCUCAGAAACAAAUUGUACUGAUAAUAGGUGAGUAAAAUAAAAAAGUUGUCAUUAAAACUGAUCAAAUGGGGUGCAGUUACCGAUCAAUGUUCGAGGUGUGUUUUUUAAGUAAGUACCAUUUUGCCACACCGCAGCCGCAGCACUGCGGUUGGCGUUCUGCGCAUGCGCACUGGGUGCCUACAUCUGUUGUCUACGCACAGAUGCCAUUACCGUCUGAUUCUUCCUUGUUUACGUUGUGUACUGAGUGUUUAAGAUGCGUCCGAUAAUUGUGAGUCCCGCUGACUGUGAAGUACAGGCAGUUAUAAGAUUUCUUAGUGCUAAAGGCCUAAAAGCGAUCGAUGUUUUGUGAGAUCUGUGCAGUUUACGGAUAAAACAUUAUGAGUGAUGGAAUGGUAAGAAAGUCGGUGAGAGCAUUUACGGAUGGCCGCACAAAUGUGCAUGAUGAACAACGGAGUGGGCAUCCUUUGUUCGUUGAUGAAAGUUUGGUGCAGGAAGUGGACAAUAAGGUGAGAGAAAACAGAUGCUUUACGAUUUCCUCCUCGCGGGAUGACAUUCCUAAUGUUUCUCGUUGUGUUGAAUUACUGAAAAUUGUGUGCACGUUGGGUACCAAAAAUGUUGAUGGAUGUGCGCAAAACCAAACGUUUAGACAGUGCAUUGGCUUUCCUUGAGCGGUACCACAACGACAGUGAUGAUUUCUUAAGCCAAAUUGUUACGGGCGAUGAAACAUGGGUGGCCUAUGUCACACCAGAAUCAAAGCAACAGUCCAUGGAAGUAGAGCAAAGGCAUCGUUUUGCUGCAAGACAAUGCCCAUCCGCAUGUAGUGAAUCAGACCAAAGAUCUUUUCGAUGGGAAACUCUAGAUCAUCCUCAGUACAGCCCCAAUCUUGCGCCCAGUGACUACCUUCUGUUCCUGCACUUGAAGAAACACCUGUGUGGCCAGCGUCUUCAAGACAAUGACAAAGUCAAAACAUUGGUGAUGCAGUGGUUAACAAGUCAGGCAGCAGACUUCUGUGAAGAGGGUAUUCAAAAACUGGUACAACAGUAUGCCAAGUGCCUCAAUAUUGACGGAAAUUAUGUAAAAAAGUAGAUUAAGGUACAGGCUUUCAUGUAAAAAUAAAAUUAUUGAGAUAUCUUAGCACGUCUUUUUUUAAUUUCAAAACGGUGCUUACUUAAAAAACACGCCUCAUAUAUUUGCUCACUGACUUUCAGGGAUAAAAAAUCAUUUUCAUGGAAAAGAAAAAACAACACAUUCAUAUACAGUGCAUUAUUUUUUGUCAUUCUCCAAAGAAUUGCUGCCUAUGUAUGAAGGAAAUCUGGAAUAAAUUUGGACCAAGCGAUGCAAAAGAAAUUGAAUGCUUGGAGUCAAACGGAAAUGUAGUCGUCACAUGAAUUCUGAAAAAUUAACAAAAGAAAUGAACGCAAAAUAUUUUGAAUCCAUACAAAAAUUAUUCAUAGAUUAAAAUGAUUUUUGUUGUUUGUAGAUUCAUGAAGUGGUCAGAUUGACAAUAUAUUAUGUGAUGAAGUAUUUAUAAAUAGUGAUGGAAAACCUUGAAAUAAAUGUGAUAUUGCUAAACGUGAAGACACAAUUAAAAUCCAUUCAUUUGUUCAUUAUAUUCUGUAGUAUGUAAUUUUGUGUGGUAUGGCUGGUCUGAAUCAAAAUUGUGUACGGAAGGGCAGUAUUUCAUAAUGUUAAUGAAGUGUGCGUCUCUCUAAAUUUGUUAAAGGUAGUGAGGUAGCAUUUAUAUUUUAUUCAUGUUGUGAGAAAAUCAACAUUUUUAAUAUUUGUAUGACAAUAAACAUAAAAUAAAGGUACUAUUGUAACAAAAAACAGAUUUUAGUGACCAUUGCACAACCAAUAUCAGUAGCUUAUUUAUUAAUAGAGAAGUCGAAUUUUUAAAUAUUUAAGUAGUAGAAUAGAUAAAUAAAAAUCACAAGGGGCAAACUACCAAAUGGAAAAAAGAAUAAAGGAUGAAGAAAAACGAGAGCAAAUGAAAGAAUUAAUAUAAUGAUUAAAAUGAUGUGGCAAAGGAUUAGAAAUGAAACAAUGUAUUUCAACCAAUUAAACGAACAAAAAUAAUGUUCAGUUAUGUCAAUAAUUUUUAUAAAGGUAUAUGGCAACUGAUGGGACUCAAACCCACAACCUUCAACCUUCAGCACCACCAGCUAGAUAAUUUGACCACUUUGGUAUGUUGCCACUUAUGAAAUCACUUGUUAUUUUUAAGGCUCUAGUGGAUCACGAGGACUUACAUUCAGUGAUUACUUGCAAACAAAGGCUCAUCAGGAUGAAUGGCUACAGGGUGGUGCUAUGUGGUGGAACAGUAUUAACAUGUUUACAUUGUUUCAAAUGGUUGGUGACUCAUCAUGAAAUGAAGUCUCAUACUUUGAAAUUGCUUGAAUUGGUGAUUUCAUAGUUAAAUAAAAGACUCAAAACCAUUUAUUUAAAUGUGAGAGCUUUUCAGUUUUAUUUAUAUUAACACACCAGUUCACAAUUAAUCUUGUCAUAUUAUUAAUUGUUUGACAGUCCACUUUCCUUUGCAACACUGCUACUAAAACAAGUUAGAUACCAGCCACAGCAUGUUUAAAUAGUGACAAUUUGUCAAAAACUGAUCCCCAUCUUGAUGUCAGAUGUAUGGUGACCAUGGAUUCGAAAGAAAUUCACAUGAGAUAUUUAGACAUAUCUAUACCUAGGAUGUUCAUGAGUGAAUGGCUAAACAUGAACUUUUACACUAUGGCACAGACUUGAUACUAAGAUGUUAACCAGUUGAGUUCCAGGUGCAAACUCUGACAAAUAAGUGUUAAUUGGGUGACUUAUUACUGCAAACUUUCCAUUCAGAGCUCAACGCUUACACAAAUGUGCUAACCUGUGAGUGCUAACCUCGAACUACCAACUUGUUAUGUAGUGACUGUAUGUAAUGACAGGUGUAUGGAUAAUUAAUGAAGUCAGUAACUACAUUUUACUUUAUAGUGAUACAGGGGCCAAAUUUAAUAAUGGUC